AGUCUGUGACAGCAGGGAAGACUGCAGAGUGUCUUUCAGGACGUAAAAGCUGUCAUUUGUGCAUCCAAGGAAGGAUUGUGCUAUGAGGACAUCCAAGCAUUACUGAGGGUGUGACCAAUGCUCUUCCUGCCUAACCCUACAGACCACUAAUUUCCCUCAACUGUCCUUGGCUGUACAGAAGAAGGACUUGCAAUGCUGGGUGCCUGCCUGAGCUCUGUGAUGAGAUGUGGCAAAGUCCAGUCCUCAACCUCCUUCCUAAGAUCAGCAGAAUUCAUCACCAGAAUUGUUUACUUCUACGAAAAUCCUAAAAACGCUGUACAGACCACAACAGCAAUGAACCUGGGCACCGGUGGGAUGUGUGCACUGUGCCAUGAUCCAUGAAGGGGCUCAUCUAGGACUGCCA